rnacentral:rRNA from 1 species
GAUGAACGCUGGCGGCGUGCCUAAUACAUGCAAGUCGAGCGAACAGACGAGGAGCUUGCUCCUCUGACGUUAGCGGCGGACGGGUGAGUAAAACGUGGAUAACCUACCUAUAAGACUGGGAUAACUUCGGGAAACCGGAGCUAAUACCGGAUAAUAUAUUGAACCGCAUGGUUCAAUAGUGAAAGACGGUUUUGCUGUCACUUAUAGAUGGAUCCGCGCCGCAUUAGCUAGUUGGUAAGGUAACGGCUUAACAAGGCAACGAUGCGUAGCCGACCUGAGAGGGUGAUCGGCCACACUGGAACUGAGACACGGUCCAGACUCCUACGGGAGGCAGCAGUAGGGAAUCUUCCGCAAUGGGCGAAAGCCUGACGGAGCAACGCCGCGUGAGUGAUGAAGGUCUUCGGAUCGUAAAACUCUUUUAUUAGGGAAGAACAAAUGUGUAAGUAACUAUGCACGUCUUGACGGUACCUAAUCAGAAAGCCACGGCUAACUACGUG